UUCUAUGACCAUACUGCCCUGAAUGUGCUUCACCUUGGAAGCUAAGGAGGGUUAGGCCUGGUUAGUACGUGGAUGGGAGAUGUCCCAAGGGUAACCAUCAUGUUUGAAA
rnacentral:rRNA from 1 species